rnacentral:rRNA from 1 species
CAGGCCUAACACAUGCAAGUCGAGCGAAUGAGGGGAGCUUGCUCCCUGAUUUAGCGGCGGACGGGUGAGUAAUGUAUAGGGAGCUGCCCGAUAGAGGGGGAUACCAGUUGGAAACGACUGUUAAUACCGCAUAAUGUCUACGGACCAAAGUGUGGGACCUUCGGGCCACAUGCUAUCGGAUGCACCUAUAUGGGAUUAGCUAGUUGGUGGGGUAACGGCUCACCAAGGCGACGAUCCCUAGCUGGUUUGAGAGGAUGAUUAGCCACACUGGAACUGAGACACGGUCCAGACUCCUACGGGAGGCAGCAGUGGGGAAUAUUGGACAAUGGGCGCAAGCCUGAUCCAGCCAUGCCGCGUGUGUGAAGAAGGCCUUCGGGUUGUAAAGCACUUUCAGCGAGGAGGAAGGGUGUUGUGUUAAUAGCACAGCAUUUUGACGUUACUCGCAGAAGAAGCACCGGCUAACUCCGUGCCAGCAGCCGCGGUAAUACGGAGGGUGCAAGCGUUAAUCGGAAUUACUGGGCGUAAAGCGCACGUAGGCGGUGUGUUAAGUUGGAUGUGAAAGCCCCGGGCUCAACCUGGGAAUUGCAUUCAAAACUGGCACGCUAGAGUAUGUGAGAGGGGGGUAGAAUUCCAAGUGUAGCGGUGAAAU